rnacentral:tRNA from 1 species
GGGGGAUUAGCUCAGUUGGGAGAGCGCUUGAAUGGCAUUCAAGAGGUCGAGGGUUCGAAUCCCUUAUCCUCCA